CUCUGGGAAAGAAUCUGAGGCUAGAGGACUCGCCAGUCAGACACGGAGGAAGUGAGACAUAAAGUACUGAAGAGAGCCCUCAAUAAGUCAUCACAUGGUGGAAACCACAAGAAGAGUCAUCAGAAAAGUGGUCUAGCUUCUUCUUUUGAACAACAGCCACAGCAAACAACUAACAAUUCCUAAUUACCACGGCCUGCUUCUGUCUCUGCUUCAUUGGAGGAUGGAUGCUGUUUGAGGAUGUUGUCUCCACCUCCGCCUGGAAUGCACCAGACCACCUUUAUUUUAAAAGAACAUUUAUUUCUUGGU